ACUGCAGGCACAGUGAGGAAGGUAGGGAAGGGUCUCUCCAAGACAGGCCCACCAGGAGCCCCCACUGGGAAUAAUGCAGCCCCUCUCAGGGGAUGGAGUGUCUGGAAUUCCAUGGCUGAGGUGCAACAGGUCCCACAGCCUCUCCAGCCUCUGUGGGAAGAAGGAUCAUCUGAUGCCUAUGUAAUAGAGUUGCUGAAGGAGUGGAAGCAGCUUUGACAUUAUCAGUGGAACCCACCAGUGCAGACUGCUUCACCAAGGGCACCUGAGGCAGCAGAUCUGAGGAUUAGGGACGUAGGGAGCUGAAGCCUGGCUGGAGAGGUGGUGCGCACAAGAACCCCCACAUUCCCCGACAGGAGCCUGAAAAAGCAAGACGCCAUGUUGGGAGGACACGGAAGCAGUUCUAGGGAGAGGAGCACAUGGCAAGAAGCCA
rnacentral:lncRNA from 1 species